rnacentral:lncRNA from 1 species
UUGAAAUGUCCAAACACACAUGAAACCCAAACGGAGACAAAUGAUACAUAUAUAUUAGUAACACUCGUAGAGUUUAAUAUCCAGUUUGAUACGGAAAUACUUGCUGCCUUCAAAGGUAUCGGUCGUCAACGUAACAACCCCACGAGUCAUGAGGAAAUCACCGGUCCCGCCAACAAUCGAUAGGUCUCUUGUCGGCUCCAUCAUCGGAUUCGCAUCGAUUAUGGUCAUUGUCCCUUUGUGUUGCGUUGAGUUAAACAACAACGUGAAAGUCAUCCACGUGUUGUAGGUCGUCUUCUUGUUGUAGAAGAAGAAGCCUUGGGCACGAGCCAUCGGUUCCGAGAGGUAGUUCUCGUCCAUUGUCACAGGGUUGUCAAAGACUACAAACUUUCCAAAAUUGAAGUUGCCUAGUCCUAUAGGGUUUACAAUUGUUGCUGACGUGGCAUUAUCCGCGUUAUCACCAUCGUAGGCAAUGUUAUGGAGACGGAGGACGAAAUGUUUGCAUGGUUUUUUUAGGUCGAUUGAUUUUCGGACUGAUGAGACCGUAUCAGAGAGGAGUAAAACGAAUAAGAAGAAAGAAAAUAGGGUUUUGAAUGUUUGUUUGGAGACUUGAUUUGCCAUGGUUCUUGCGUUUAGUAGAAAUGAGUAGCAGUGUUGAUUUGUGAAUAGAAAGAGGGCCGUUGAUACCUUAUUUAUAUACACAAUUCACAUAUUUGUUUUUGGGUAAAAAAAAAGUGGCUUUGAGAGACGCAUAUAAUUAGUUGUAUUUCGUCUAAAGCUAAAUUGCCAAAAUUGGCAUAUUGACUUUUUAAAACACUGAUCGUGUGGGAAACUCGGUAUAUUAUUUGCCCAACUACUAACUUUUCAAAAAUAAUUUAAAGGAUAGAUUCAGCAAGGCGCAUCCUUUUUUAGAAAGACAUAGGAAACAUUAGCAUGCAAAUAAUGGCUGGAUUGAUCGAAUAUCAUAAUUCUUUCAUUAGUCAAUUAUAAAGUUAACUUUCAUGAAUUAAAAGCCAUACAUAGUUGUCAAUGUUAAAACUAUUUUUAUUUCCAUUUUAUUUUAUAAAUUUCUGGUUCGAUUUUAUUUUAAUUUCAUUUUCCUUUUCUUUUCUUACCAAAACUACAUAAACAAUAAAAAGGGAAUAUAUAUCUAUGUUGACAAAAAGGGGAAUAUAUAUCUAUAAACAAUAUAUAUAAUGAAUAUUAUUUGUUCUUCAUAUUUAUGUAAAAGAACAUAAAUAAAAGGGGGAUUUUACAAAAAUAACUUAAAAUUUGAUUUUAAAUACAAAAAAGUGUAUCCCAAAUUUAAUCAAAUUCAAAGUAAUCUAAAAAACUAGUAAAAUUAUAACAAACCUCGUAUGACCAAACAAAAAACUUGUAUUGAGUUUUACUAUAAUAACCCUCCGCGUGAGAAGACAUCUAGGAAAGUCUCGUACAGUAGAUUUUAAAAAUAAUUUAUAAAUUUUAUUAAAAAUAUUUAUAUGGGAGGAAGAUUGAGUCAUGUAUAAACAUUUACAAAUGAUGUAAAUUUAGAUUUAAUAGAAUUGAAUUGUUUGCAACAUAGAUGAGUGAAUGUAGAUUGAGUCAUGAUAGUCUUUGGUUUAGGAUUUGGUAAAAUAUGCGACAGUAUUUUUGUAUUUUUAGAGUUAGAUUUUGGAAUCUUAAUUUUUCUAAAAAAUGAAUAAAUUUGAUAUAUGUGUUUAGUUUUGUGUAUAUUAAACACUUUAUAAGUUGAUUUUAAGUUUAAUGAAGUGUUUUUUGCUAUUUAGUUAGUUAUUUGAUUAUAAGAAGUGUUUUUUGCUAUUUAGUAUUGUUUAAUGAAGUCUUCUUGUUAAUAGUAAAUGUUUUGCUAUUAUUUUUCGAUUACAAAAGUAACUCAGGUGGACUUCUUUAGAAGUCUUCUCAAUGGAAAAUAUUUCUAGAGAAGUCUUCUUCGAGAACAUAUCUGAAAAAAUGAUUUCAUACCUUGGACCCAUGAGAUGACUUGCUUAGCUUCUGCAAGCAUCCAUAAUUUCACCACAGUUUUUUUUUUCUUUUUACAGUGAUCGAAGACUCAAUCUCGGAUACUACUGAUUGAGAUGUCUAUGUCUCUCCAUCGGCUCAACACAUCUUCGCAUGGUUAUAGAAUAUUUUUUCUGCGCUGCCCAAAUGCCGAAGUUGCCUCUUCAGAAGGUUUAUAGCAGAGAAUCCCUAUUGAAAUUGUAGUUGAGAUGAAGAAGAGAACUUAAUAGUAGUUCUCCGGAAAAUUAAUCGAUGGUCACAUAAGCUUCAACCAUAUUUGCACUGAAAGACAAUUGCGGAAAGAAUUUGUGAAGAACCCUCCUCUCGUCCUGGCGACUAUGACUGGUGAUGGUCGUAGACCUUCCAAUGUUUCCGAUGUGCUUGAGAGGGAUUGCAUCCACCAACAAGGCCUGUGAAUAAAGAGUUCAACCCAAGAGCUAGGCCGAACAGCUCGGUCAAAAAGCUCAGUUGGUCCCCACCGUGGGGCUAUAAAAUAAUGCUAAGAAGAUCAUCAUGAUCACCGACGACAUAACUGGCGGAUAAGAAUCUACGCCGGCCAGCUGCGACCAUGAUGAAAUGAUGAAAAUCAUCAUGGACUACAUUUCUCACCAAUAUGAAGCUAAUAAAUAGACUAACAAGUGUCUCGCCAUCAUAACCAACGCCAUCACGCCACCAACUGGCGAUGUCAGCGGCCAUGCGACGAUAAGGAGACAACGCUUCCAGACAAAGAAAACUUAUGGAGGGCGGAGGAGAGGAAAUAAUAAGCUGGCAAAUCGUCGACCUCCAGAUCUGGAUGCAAGACAUCAAAUCAAAAAUCCACCAUGUGAAUAAAUCGUAACAAAGAGAUAUUUGCCACAAUAAUUUUCAUGACAAAAUGUGCCUAUCACUAGUCACAUUAUUUACGUGACAAACUGUGUCCAUUUCAGCCAAUAAAAGGACACGAAUGGUCACUUCUUGCAUUCAUGAUCAUUUGUGACCGUUUCGUAACUAAUUCAAAAAAGUCACGCACUAGCUAAAACGUGGCCAUAGCGAUUAUUUCUACUAUUAUUGGCGUCGCCAUUGGUUGUUAGCGGUCUUCUUUUUGUAGUAGAAGCCUUGGACUCGAGCAACUGGUUCUUAGAGUUAGUUCAGGUCCACUGGUUGUUAGGAAUCACAAGCCUAAAGGGUUUAGGAUUGUUUCUGAUGUAACUUUACUGCAUUAGCCGCGUUAUCACUAUGCUACGCCAUGUUCUGGAGAUGAAGUGCGAAAUUGUUUUAUCAAAAAAACUGAAACAAGAUUUCGUAAUUAGAUUUUUUACCAAAAGCUUAUAAAAUUGAUCGUGGAUGUGUUGCUCAUAUAACGAGACAUCCUGACGUUGAAAACGCGAUAUGUUACGACAUAAAAUACUUUAAAAAUGUAUGUUUUCAUGGCUUUAUCAGUAUGUUUAUGAUUUAGUAAACAAAGCAUAAGAUUAUUAUUAUCAUAAAACUCGUUACAAGCGAAUUACAAUACUAUUAUGUGGCAACUUGAAGAAACAUCACCUGGAAUGCAUUAUUGAAAUGUCCAAACACACAUGAAACCCAAACGGAGACAAAUGAUACAUAUAUAUUAGUAACACUCGUAGAGUUUAAUAUCCAGUUUGAUACGGAAAUACUUGCUGCCUUCAAAGGUAUCGGUCGUCAACGUAACAACCCCACGAGUCAUGAGGAAAUCACCGGUCCCGCCAACAAUCGAUAGGUCUCUUGUCGGCUCCAUCAUCGGAUUCGCAUCGAUUAUGGUCAUUGUCCCUUUGUGUUGCGUUGAGUUAAACAACAACGUGAAAGUCAUCCACGUGUUGUAGGUCGUCUUCUUGUUGUAGAAGAAGAAGCCUUGGGCACGAGCCAUCGGUUCCGAGAGGUAGUUCUCGUCCAUUGUCACAGGGUUGUCAAAGACUACAAACUUUCCAAAAUUGAAGUUGCCUAGUCCUAUAGGGUUUACAAUUGUUG